GGGUGGAUGUAUAUCAUCAGCACUUCCUAGUCUGAUCUAUAAACAAGAGAGCUGCCAUUCAUUUCAGUGCUGCACUUCGAACAUAGGACAUGAAAACGGAGGGGCGAUUAAUGUUGAUCAUCCUCAGGCUGAAUGCAAUCAUCCCAGAGCUCCUGGCCAAUGAGCAGAUCGCACAGUCUCCCCUGGCACUGGAAGCUGUGGAAGGCUCCACAGUGACAAUGCACUGCAGCACCAAUGCUUUGCUCAGCUUCGUGAAGUGGUAUCAAUGGCGGGGUGGACGGGAUCUGAAACUUCUAAUCGUCGCCUCGGGCAGCCUGGUCACAGCUGGGAAGGUUCAGGCCACUCUUGACCGGGAACAGAAACGCAGCACCUUGACCAUCAGCGACAUCGGGAGGGAUGAUGCUGCCAUCUACCUCUGCGGGGUGAUCACCACCGUGAUGCAAUCCCAUGAGCAUGCAGUACAGAAACCCCAGGGAGAGAAGAGCUAUAUCGACAGCCUCACCAGCUCAAGGUUGCGGAGUAGCAGCGAUAACUGAUUGAAAAUGAAACUUGUGGAGCUCCUGUGUGCAAUCUGGAAUAUGUGACGAUGCUGUGGCUUUAAGGGGUUACUUUGUCCCGGUAUCUUUUAACAAGACGAGUAGAGCUGGCUAUUGAAGACCACUUAACUAAAAAGCUGAGGAGGCCUUGGCAUUGUUUUAUGGCCUCAAUAGAAUGUUGCCUGUUCUUACAGGUCAGGAUUUCUGGGGUUUGGAUUUUCCAGUAGCAUCAGAAGCUGUUGGGGUCUCAGCAGAGUUGAAAACUUCAGUAGAUGUCUCCUAACUGCUCCUCUCCGAAUUUUCUCCUGACGACUUUUUCCACUUGGAUUGGAAAACCGCAUGUGGUAAUCUGUGUCUGAAUUGGCCGUUUUGCCAAGGAGAACAUGUACGCGAUGUUACUACACUGGAACAGUUAAUUAGUAACAGUCACUGUGUGCAUUAUUCUGUGAGUUUUCUUUUGGAGUCAAUUCAUUUAAAAAUGCUUUUUUUUUGUUUUUAUGGUAAGUAAUGUUCAAAUAAAUUGCGUUUGCAUCACAUCGA